rnacentral:SRP_RNA from 1 species
CGCGGGAGUCGGGCGGACGUAGUCUUCGCCUACCUGGUCAGAUCCUGACGGAAGCAGCCAAUGUGAAUUUGCUGCGGGUCGUUCCGGCUCCCACCCUC